rnacentral:tRNA from 1 species
GGAGCUGUAGCUCCGUGGCAGAGCACUUGCCUAGCAUGCAUGAAGCACUGGGUUCGAUCCUCAGCACCA